rnacentral:lncRNA from 1 species
AUUCUUAAUUGCAUAUUUGAGGCCUAUUUUCUUUUUAAUUUCCUCCCAAACAGGCAACAUUUGGGCCCAUAUAAUAUUAUUUUUAAUAUCUGUCCCUAUAUUAUCUAGAGUUUUCGUAUUCCAUAACAAGCCUUCUGGGUUUUUUAGUCUCAGAUCUUCCAUUUCAAUACUAUACCAGCUUUCUUCUUCAGCUGUCCCCGUCUGGGACCUAUACAUAUGAUUGAUCACAUUUGCCCAGUAUAUAACUCUUAUAUUAGGAAAGUUUAAUCCGCCUUCCUUAAUUUUUAAUGAUAGAAUAUUUCUCUUUAUUCUGUUUUUCUUACCCUUAUUAAUGAAAUUUUCUAGAUUAUUUUGUAAUAGUGUCAACCAUAUGUCUGGAAUCCUAAGUGGAAUCAUCUGAAAUAAGUAACUCCAUUUAGGAAUCAUAUAGGAAUUGAUAACGUUAAUGCGGCCCCACCAGGUAAUCUGCAUAUUUCUCCACUCUUUAAGUAAUAAAUUUGUACUUUUUAAUAGACUUAGGAAAUUUUCUUCCAUCAUCCUCUCUAUAUUUUUAGUAACCAGUAUUCCUAAGCAAUUGAAUUUCUGAGAUGCCCAUGUAAAUGCGUAUUGAUUACUAAUUUCCUCUCUUAACUUCUUAUCCAGUUCGAUACUCAUCACAACUGUUUUUUCAUUAUUUAAUUUAUAAUUUGCCAAUUGGCUAUACACUCUAACUUCCUCCAUCAGAUAGUUCAAAGAGCUAGCUGGUUCAGUAAUUGACAAAAGGAUAUCGUCCGCAUAGAGACUUAUUUUAAAUUCUUUAUCUCUUAUUCUAUAUCCUUUUAUAUCUACAUUUUUCCUAAUGUUUUCCGCUAGGGGCUCUAUUGAGAGAACAUAUAGUAAUGGCGAAAGUGGACAUCCUUGUCUCACCCCAUUGUUUACUGAUACCCAGUCUGAACAGAUAUUUGGGCCUACUAUUCUAGGUAUUGAAGGAUUUUUAUAUAAAGCCAUAAUUCCUCUUAACAACCAGCCUUCUAUUCCAUAUGCUUCUAAAGUUAAUUCUAAAAACUUCCAAUUUAGCCUAUCGAAGGCUUUUUCUGCAUCAACUGCUAAGGUCAUAAGAGGAAUGUGUUUCUUAUUAGCAUUAUCAAUUAUAUCUAUGAUUCUUCUUGAAUUAGAGCCUACCCAUCUAUCUGGUAUAAAACCUAUUUGAUCAUUGUGAAUAAGCUUAUUAAUAAUACUCUUAAGGCGGUCUGCCAAUAUAGAUGAGAAUAUUUUUACAUCUGAAUUAAUUAGAGAGAUAGGGUGAUAACUAGCCACAACAGUUGGAUCUUUUCCUUGUUUCAAGAUGGGGAGCAUAUUAGCUCUAGUCAUCUCUUCGGGAAAACGUCCUAUUUGAACCGCAUUAUUAAACGUUAAUGCUAAUUGUUUACUCAAAAUAGAUUUAUAAGUAUGAAAAAACAGAUUAGAAAAUCCAUCUGGACCUGGUGUUUUUAACUUCUGGGUUUUAGAUAUAGCACUAUUCACCUCGGCUUCUGUAAUCGGAUUAUUGAGACUAUCUUUCUGAAUUUGAUCUAAUUUUGUUAGAUUUGUACUAGUUAAAUACUGUUUAAUCUUAUUUGUAGUAGCUUCAACAGGAAGAUUAUAUAGUAACCCAUAAUAAUCUCUAAAGCAGUCCCCAAUAUCUUUUGGAUUUGUAUAAGUUAUUUGAUUAUAUAUAAUCUUAGAUAUCCGAGCAUUAGCAUAUUGUUUCCUCAACUUAUUAGUUAGCAUCUUAUCUGUUUUAUUCCCUCUACAGUAGAAUCUCAAUUUCAGUUUUUUAAUAUUUUCUAUUGUUUUAGUAUUCAAACAUUGUAGAAUAUUUUUUUGCACUUCUGUUAUUCGUCUUCCUUUCUCCAUUGUGGGAUCUGCUUUAUUGUCUGUUGUAAGCUUAUAAAGUUCAAUAUAUAAAUCUCCUAAUCUCUUUUCUUUACUUUUAGCUUCAUGAUUUAGCUUUAUACGAUAACCUUUUUGUAACUGCUUUGAAUGAACACCACGUAUUUAGAUAUGAAGUGUCUGAAGGAUCAUUCUCCUUAAAGAAACAUAUUAUCACUUUCUCUAACUUGGUCUUACUGCUUUUGUUAUAUAACAGUUAUUUAGUUUCCACGUUGUAUUAUUUAUAGCUGUCAUCUUAUCUUUUAUUUCGAAUAUAUACAUACUAUGAUCUGACCAUACGUUUUCCACUAUAUUUAUUUCAACCAAAUUAUCUAUUAGAGUUAUAUUGCCCCAAAUCAUAUCAAUUCUUGAAUAUGUAAAAUGUACUCUAGAUAGAUGGGUGUAAUCUCUUAAUUCGGGAUUUUGAAGACGCCAAGCAUCAAAUAGAUCAUAAUUGUUUUUAGUAUUAGUCAAUGAGCUCGCAUUUUUAAUUAUUGUUUUAUUCAUUACACUCCCUUUCAGCAAUUUUUUAUCCUUUUGUGGAUCUAAUAUACAAUUAAAAUCUCCUGCUACUAUAUAUAUCCCAGUUUUGACUAAAUCCGCUUUAUCUAAUAUUUUCUUCAGUUGAGAAACUGGAGCUACAUUUGGUAGAUAUAUGUUAACUAUCGUAUAUUUAACAUCAUUUAUCUUGCCUACUAAAAUCAUAAAUCUUCCUUCUUUAUCUAAUUCCUGAUAAAGGUUCUCCCACUUGACCCUAUCUGAAAUUAUCAUUGCUACACCUCUUUUUCUUUUGUCCUUCAUAGAUGCAUGUAAAAAAAUUGGAAGCUUAUUACCUCCCCAUGUUAAUUUCUCAUUUUGUCUCCAAUGUGUCUCCUGAACUAAACAGAUAUCUAUUUUUCCUUUUAUCAUUUGAUUUCGUAGCAGAGAUCUUUUAUACAUCGUAUUCAGGCCCUGAGCAUUAAUAGACAUAAAUUUAACCAUAUUUUAAUCUUCUCCCUCGAUUUUCUUCCCUCCUACCCUUAAGACCCCGCAGAUAACACACAUUUAUCACAUACAACAUUACAUUAAUUAAGGACAUCUUAUAGUCCUACUUGUUAACCUAUCUAACAGAAGACUAACCCUAAUUUCUGUAGAUAGACCCCGUCCCGUGAGAAACCAACUACUCCGAGACUUAUGCUUAA